GCAUAUCAAUAAGCGGAGGAAAAGAAACCAACAGGGAUUGCCUUAGUAACGGCGAGUGAAGCGGCAAAAGCUCAAAUUUGAAAUCUGGCGUCUUCGGCGUCCGAGUUGUAAUUUGAAGAAGGCUACUUUGGAGCUGGAGUUUGUCUAAGUUCCUUGGAACAGGACGUCACAGAGGGUGAGAAUCCCGUGAGAUAAGCUUCCCAGUUCUAUGUAAAGUGCUUUCGAAGAGUCGAGUUGUUUGGGAAUGCAGCUCUAAGUGGGUGGUAAAUUCCAUCUAAAGCUAAAUAUUGGCGAGAGACCGAUAGCGAACAAGUACAGUGAUGGAAAGAUGAAAAGAACUUUGAAAAGAGAGUGAAAAAGUACGUGAAAUUGUUGAAAGGGAAGGGCUUGAGAUCAGACAUGGUAUUUUGUAAACCUUCUCUCUCGUGGAGGGGGCCCCUUGCAGUUUACUGGGCCAGCAUCAGUUUGGGCGGUAGGAUAAUGACUAAGGAAUGUGACUUGCCUUCGGGGAAGUGUUAUAGCCUUGGUUGAUACUGCCAGCCUAGACUGAGGACCGCGUCUUUGACAAGGAUGUUGGCAUAAUGAUCUUAAGCCACCCGUCUUGAA
rnacentral:rRNA from 1 species